CAUCUUUUCUUGUUAGUUUUUGAAGUAUGGCCUGCCCACUGACUUGGAGUUGAAGGGCCGCGGUAUUUUGACCGUGCAAAGGUAGCAUAAUCAUUAGUUCUUUAAUUGUGAUCUGGUAUGAAUGGCUUGACGAGACAUAAGCUGUCUUAGAGGUAUUGGUUUAUUGAAUUUGGUUUUUGAGUUAAAAUUCUUAAAUGUUUUUAUGGGACGAGAAGACCCUAUAGAGUUUGACAAUUUUCCUAUUUAUUCGUUGUUUGUGUUUAUUUACAUUGAGUGGGAGUGAAUUGUUUUGUUGGGGUGAUGGGAGGAAUAUUGUUUAACUCCUCUUUGUUUUUAUAUAUUUAUGUAUAUAUUUUUGAUCCAUUUAUUUUGAUUAUAAGAUUAAAUUACCUUA
rnacentral:rRNA from 1 species